GAGCGAGAAGACGUAGCAAUACGUUUGUAAAGCGGCGAACGGGUGAGGAAUACAUGGGUAACCUACCCUCGAGUGGGGAAUAACUAACCGAAAGGUUAGCUAAUACCGCAUACGACUCCUGGUCUGCGGAUCGGGAGGGAAAGCGAUACCGUGGGUAUCGCGCUCUUGGAUGGGCUCAUGUCCUAUCAGCUUGUUGGUGAGGUAACGGCUCACCAAGGCUUCGACGGGUAGCUGGUCUGAGAGGACGAUCAGCCACACUGGCACUGCGACACGGGCCAGACUCCUACGGGAGGCAGCAGUAAGGAAUAUUGCGCAAUGGGCGACAGCCUGACGCAGCGACGCCGCGUGGGGGAUGAAGGUCUUCGGAUUGUAAACCCCUUUCGGCAGGGAAGAUGGAACGGGUAACCGUUCGGACGGUACCUGCAGAAGCAGCCACGGCUAACUUCGUGCCAGCAGCCGCGGUAAUACGAAGGUGGCAAGCGUUGUUCGGAUUUACUGGGCGUACAGGGAGCGUAGGCGGUUGGGUAAGCCCUCCGUGAAAUCUCCGGGCCUAACCCGGAAAGUGCGGAGGGGACUGCUCGGCUAGAGGAUGGGAGAGGAGCGCGGAAUUCCCGGUGUAGCGGUGAAAUGCGUAGAGAUCGG
rnacentral:rRNA from 1 species